AACGAACGCUGGCGGCGUGUUUAAGACAUGCAAGUCGCACGGGAUCAUUUUGGUAGCAAUACUCGGAUGGUCCAGUGGCGCACGGGUGAGUAACACGUGAAUGACAUGCCCUUCAGUGGGGGAUAGCCCAGGGAAACUUGGAUUAAUACCCCAUGGUCUCGCGAGAGUAAAGGUGGCGCAAGCUGCCGCUGGAGGAUUGGUUCGCGUUCUAUCAGCUUGUUGGCGGGGUAACGGCCCACCAAGGCUACGACGGAUACCUGGUCUGAGAGGACGAUCAGGCACACUGGAACUGAGACACGGUCCAGACACCUACGGGUGGCAGCAGUCGAGAAUAAUUCACAAUGGGGGCAACCCUGAUGGUGCAACGCCGCGUGGAGGAUGAAGGUCUUCGGAUUGUAAACUCCUGUCAUCCGGGAGCAAGACCUGACGGUGAAUAGCCGGCAGGGUUGAUAGUACCGGAAGAGGAAGGGACGGCUAACUUCGUGCCAGCCGCCGCCGUAA
rnacentral:rRNA from 1 species